UUUCAUUAUCUUCUAUUCCAAAAUCUUCUUGUAAUUGUUCAUAAUCUAUAUCUAUAUUAUCAUUAGGCGAUGUUUCAGAAACAUGUGUAAAUGAUAAUAAGUUAUUACUAUUACUACAGAUGCUGAAGAACUACUUUUUUUUUAAUUUUCCCUACCCGUAACUCUUUUACACGCUCUUUUAGUAGCACUAAAUAUAUUAUAAAAAUUAAAGUAUAAGCUAAAAUUAAAUAUGCAAUUAAAAUAGUAAAUAAGAGAAAGUAUUGGAGGGAGUGCAGCGAAUUUGACAAUGAAUUGAGCACUUGAUUACUCAAUUCCGAUGUUACCACGAACAAACGUCAAGUCGUUAAGCAAGAAUUACAAAUUUGAACUUCAAUUGAUCAAAGUUGAAACUUCAAACUUCAAAUUCUGAAUGACAAAACACGAUAAAUUAAAUUCAAGAAAAGUGAGCCAAAUAAAAUUAGAUGAUUAAAUGAUGAAUUGAAGUAUUGCAAAUUGGAGAAUGAGAGAAAUUGAGAUUGAGAUAUAACAUUUGAGUGAAAAAAUGAAGAACGUGGGGCGCAAAUUGGAGAAUGAGAGAAAUUGAGAUUGAGAUAUGAGAUUUAAGUGAAGAAAUGAAGAAGAGGGGGGGAGGGGGGUAUUUAUAGUUUUAGAAAAGGUUAAUUUUGUAAAUUCAAAAAGGAAUAAAAACUUAAAAUUUAAAAAAUGGCUAUUUCAUCAAUAGAUCUGUUGGCUAACGGAUUAAUUGUGAAAUCUGACCAAACCAACGGAUAGUGGACCCAUCUACUUUGAAAAUUAAAAAAAAAAUCUGACCGUUGAACCGGUUCCGGACCGGUUUAACCGGUUACGUACUGUUCAUGCUUACCGAUUUAGCCGGGUCCGGUUAACCAGUAAUUCUUUUUAAACCUUCCAAUCCCCUCCCCUCCCUUACCCACCCCACCCAAUUCCUUAAGAACCCGGCCGAUUCGAUUUCGAUUUAUACCGAUCUGGGCCGAUCGGUAGCGGGCCUAACUGACCCGUUAGACAGCUAUAAUAUGACAUUGUAAUAUUGGCAUGAAAUAAGUUUUACGAGAUUUGUGUUGGUAUCUUUUUGCAGCUCAAAAAUGAAGACGAAGAUGAUAAUCUUUCACAAACUUCACGCUAUAUUUGAAUGUUAUUUAUUGUUACGUGAAACAAAUAAUACUAAAUCGAUAAUUUUCAAUUUCUGGUAGAUAUUACAUCAUUACUUUUUGAAUAUCCUUGCAUGUAUAAUGGAUUAGAUGUUUUAUAAUAUAAUUAAACUUAAAUAUUUGAUUCCAAAUUUAAAUCAUUAUUGUACUUUGUAAUUAAAUAAUUCUCUCUCACUAUAUGUGUUUGGACUAGUUUAACUUAAUUAGGAUGUUGUCUCCGAUGACACUAAUAUUUGAAAAAUUAUCUUAUUAUAUGUUUUACUAUAAUUAAUACAGUAUAUAAUAAGCAAAUCAAAUUUUAAUCUAAAAAAUUGUUCUACCAAAUAUCUCGUGAGUACAAAAUAAUAAUGAAUAAUUAAUUUAACUUGGGGGUGAAAUAGAAAAGCACAAUUUAUUAAUGCAUUCUAACACAAAUAGCC
rnacentral:lncRNA from 1 species